GCCGCCGGCGCGGUCAGAAGGACGUCAGAGAGGCCGCGGCUCUCGGCGCGUCGCCCUCGCCACACCCGGCGGCCAUUUUCCCUCCGUCUCCACGAACUGACAGAGGAAUAAGCCACAAUUGGAACUUCAGAAGACACUGCAAGUACCUUGCAAAUGUACCAGCUCUGCAUCCUUCCUCCGGAGCCCAGGGGCCAGGUUCCUGCCCUCCUUGAAUACUGGAGGAUUUAUCAUCUUGGUCACCUUCACUCCCCCUGCACGGCCUGGGCCUGCACCUCUGACUUGCCCGGGCUGGCAACAGCCAUCAUCCCUGCUCACGACUCCCUGCUGGAAACAUUCCCCUCCCUGCAUGCCUGUGACACUGUUUCUCCUAGAUUUCCUCCCAUAUCCCCGACUGGUCCUCUCAGAUUCCACCUUACAUAAACUGGCCGAUGUUUCCAAAGUCAAAGCCGGACUGGCCAGUCUCCCCACCCAACGUGUCCACCUCCUCGUGGCUUCUGUCAGGGCACCAGGUUCCUACCAGGAGCUGGGACGUCAGCCUCCUCCUCCCCAGGGCCACCCAGGCCUCCCACCACCUACCUGACUUUAACCAGGUUCAUCAAGCUGAUGGGUUUGAAGGCUUCUGAAGUUCCAGACCAGGAGUACCCCAAGUCCCCAACUACUCUCCCUGCCCCUGCGGCCCCGUCUCUCAAGGAGAUUGCUAAUGCCUGCUUCUUUAAAGUCCUCGGCAUCCCUCCAUUGACAUGGGGUCAUCCCCCCAGACGCACCUCAGUGUGCACGGCAGGCAGGGGUCCUCGUUGGCCGCUGUUCACCUUCUUGCCAUUGCUCUCAUCGCUCUAUCCACGACUCCCCCACCCACUCUGCCCUGCCCACUCGCGGACACAUGACCUCUCCGUUCAUGGAGACGGAGGAAAACGGCCGCCGGGUGUGCUGAGAUACUGUCCACACUGCCUCCGUGUCCUCCCUUCUGCCCCCCGCCACUCCCCCAGUGAAAACCCCUGAAGAUGCUCCAUGUACAAGCUGUGCUGCUCUUUAAAGCUGUGCAGAUAACAGCCUGGAAAGAAGGUACUAGAAAUAGGCCUUACUUUAGCCCACAUUUAAUGGAGGAUGGGAGGAGGGUCAGAGUGCCGGAGACAGGGCGGGAGAAGAGGAGGAAAGCUUGGAAGGGGGGUGGUGGUGUCAGAGAGCAGCCCCCUCCCCUGCGCUCCCCCAGCGAGUCUGCGCCAGAGAAAGAGGGACCUUCAGUUCGGGUCUUUGUUGUUAGACUAGACCAGGCAUUGAAGGACUGAGAUGAGAACUUGUCGUGACCGAAAGGGACUAGCUAAGAUUUAGGAUCUGAAUAUGGGGAAAUUAUGACCCCUAGUCAGAACGCCAGCCAGGGCUGGACAGAAGUGGAAGUAAGGCAUGUACAGGGCAGACCCCAGCGCAAAGAAUGGAUUCAUUCUCCUCUGUCAAAUGAUAGUUAGCUAGAAAAUUACAUCUAUUCUGAUACCAAAUGUUUCCUAACUCAUACCAAAGGCUGUUUAUUCUUUUCCUACUAUGGACUCCAGCCACCAUAUGGUGCAGCGAUAGAACUGUUGCAAAAUACAACUGAAAUGCUUUCUCCUCAGUUUUGUUUCAUCUUUCACUCUCUGCACAUUCUUGAUCUUUUCCUGGCUGGCACAAUUUGCCUAAAUCUCUCUAGCAAAUGGUUCCCACGGGCCUCUUGCUUCAGCAGAAUCACUCAUCACUUCAAGAACCUGGCUUUUCUGCUGUCGUGGGCCAUCGUGUAGAAGGGAAAAGAUGGGCUGGCUCCACUCCUCAGCGCACCCCCCUCAGAAUUCUAUGUGAUGGCCCUCCCAUCUCCUCAGCAGUCCCUGCAGGCAGGAAUGGUGAUGUCAAGAGUCCAGUCUUGGCAUUUGCCUCCAGAAUUUGGAAAAUACAGAAAUAUUCCAAGAAUAGAUCUGGCCCCUAAUCUCACCACUCAGGCUUCCCCGUCUUCUGAAACAGUGAGUUGAGCCCAAACUUUACUGACCAAAGUCAUCCUUUUAAACAUUCAUUAUUGACAGCAUUGCUCCUAGAUGUCAUUUUUUGGCCUUAAUUAGUGACGACUGUCCGUAUCAUUUCUCCUGAUAACUUUACCUCUCUCUCCCUGACCCAUUUCAUCUGUGUUAACCCCUUUAACACAGAUGGCUGUGUCCUUAACUGGGAUAGAGCCAGAAAGAACGAAGACAGUAGAGCACACAGACACGGACAGACGGGCGAGGGUAAGUGCAAAGCUCUGCUGAGGCGGGGCAGAGAGGGAGGGGGAGCCAGGAAGACAGCCCAUACCCAGUGUUUGGGAGAGAGUUUUAACUGAGUUCACAUCAAGUCAUAAGAAAGAGAUUCAGGUUUCAGCUGAUUGCAAGCUCAACAUACAGCCAACGGGGCUGCCCACGGGGUGACACUGUCGCUAACCCACCACCACCGGUGUUGUUAGACUCUAAGGCUUUUUUCUUCUUCAAAUUCUUACUCACCUGCAGAGAAUCUGAGCAUCUGGAGCCCCCUCUGUGAGAGCACAAUCUAACUAGGGAGGUGGGCAGUGUACUAACAGGAAAUAUAACCAGCUCAAGAUAGCAGAGACUCAGAACCAAGGAUGUAGCUCAGAGCAGGCCGUGGUCUCUAGGGACGGCUGGGCGCCGAGCAAUGCCCUGGACAAGAGGAGGAGGGUUAGCAGGGCUCGGGGAAAUGCGGUCAGAGAAGAAGUGGGAACCAGCAUUGCACGAACACGAGAGGCCACUCAAAGUUGCCAUCCCACAGCACUGGUUUAGAGGGAUCCAUGGAAGGAGCAGGGCAACAUGAAGUUAGUUGGCCAUUCCAUUUUUCUUCCCCUUCUUAAGAAUUUGCAAGUCUCUCCAAUUCUACGGUCUUGGCAUCUUGGAACACCUAUGUUGGCACCCUGAGCCUCUCUGUUAGCCUCCCCAGCUAAGUUCACUCAUCAGCGCAGAUUCCCAUCAGAGGGAAGAGCAGGAAUUGAGAGAGAGAGUUCAUAUUGCACUGCGUCCACUGUGGGUCCCUUUUUACACUUUCAAUUCUAUGAGACUAUGAAUUAAUGUUUCAUUUUAUUGUGCCAUAAAUAUAUGCAACUUGGAUCUGUUAGUAUGUUUUGAAAUUUCACCUGUCUCCUAUCUUAAUCAUAUUUAGUUUCAUUUUAUCUUAUUUUAAAUUAUCAAGCAGUUUUCGCUUGCUAACGAUACAUAAAGGCUAGCCAUCAUUUAACUUUAGAUUCAACUGAUUUUAUUAACGAUUCCACUUUAUUGCUAUAUUUCCUUCUCUAAAACCAAAGGCUAAUCUAAAGACAGCUGCUUUUCCAUUAGUUCUUACGAAGUGUUAAAUCUUCUCUUACCCACUUCUGAGUUGCCUACCAAGUGGUUCUUUACUGAAGUGAAUUGACUUCAACUUGAUUUAUUUAAACAUUGGGUAUUUAUGUGCCAAUACAACACUAUUUAAAUUGCUGUUCCUUUAUAAUUAGUUGUAAUAUUUUCUAGGGUGCAGGGGA